AAGAGAGUGAUAAAAAUCCCUACGCCCAAGAGAGUGAUAAAAAUCCCUAGACUAGAUACAAGAUAAUCGCAGAGAAAUCAAGCAGAAGAAGAAAGGCUAAGUCUUAAUUAUACUUUAAUUUUAUAUUUUUAAUUUUAAUAAUUUAGGUCCAAUUUCUUAUAUGUAAUGAUAGUUCAUUCCCAUUGAAAUUUAAAGGAAAAAUAAAAAACGGAGGAUUUAUGGCUUAGAGACUUUUGAGCAGACAUGUAGAAACAAUCAUCGUCAUUUCGAGCCUAUCUUUCUCCAAAGAUCAAAUCCACCGGUAUUGUGCAGCCAGGAACCAUAUCAGCUGUCAAAUUAAACAAAACCAUUCAAAAAAGAGAACAGAUUUCCCUAAUGGAGAGUGCAUCAGUAACCUUAGGAAAUCCGCAUGGACAAAUUGAUUCUCCAAUAGGUUCAAAGUGAAGAAAAACCCCUAUCGUUUUACACAUCAUUUGCAAUCUCUCCACCAUUCCUAAUUCAGAAUUUUUAAAAAAGAACAAAAAAUGUGGACGAGCAACAAUCGAAUCGUCAAUGGAAGAAUGACGACUGAAACGAUAUCUCGGCCAUGGAUUUGUUAUACCUGCCGUUCUUUCGAAGAUAAGAGACACUCCCAAUCCGUCUCUCCUCUCCAUAUCAGAACAGAGGUUUCUUCUUUUAUACAAAAAACUGACCUAGAAAAUCUCUCUGCACUUUCUGAUUAGCGACUG
rnacentral:misc_RNA from 1 species